rfam:Stegodyphus mimosarum contig113823, whole genome shotgun sequence.
GCCUUCCUGGUGUAAUGGUCAGCACGCUCGACGGAUAACCGAGAGUUCUGUGGUUCGAUUCCUGGCGAAGGCG